GAUUAAGGGGAAGGACCCCAGAUAUGGACCGACCACUAAAAGCGUAGCUGCACACCGUGACCGCCUCAAAAUACUUGGUGUAAAUUACUGACACCAAGACAUAUGACUAUACAACUUUACAAUGGUUAUAUUUACUACUGCGUUUGCUUUGACAUGCAAAUGGAUGGUGCGCACAUAUAGGGGGCUUUGUGGUUGAUGCGUUCGGGCUUUGCCAAAGGCAGAUUGACAGGUGCAAUUUUUGAUGGGUCGAUUUGAUGGACCGCAAGUCAGUCUGACACCUUGCGGUGAGAGCUGCUUUUCAAAAAAGCAGAUAGGUAAGUAUGGGAACCUCUGAUGACCUUGUUCCUACUGAUGGUUUAGGGAUCGUGUAUAAGUUCAUAUCAGAUGCGUUAGCUCAUGCUGCUCUUG
rnacentral:lncRNA from 1 species